GCCGGUCUUAAUCGACGGACGGAUUAGCUGUGAAUCCCCUGAAGAAAAAGAAGAGAAAAAUCGCGACAGAAUAAGUAGGCUGAUCAGACUCCUGUCCUGGUCCCAGAUUACGGAGGAGAGAGAGCCAUCUCUGACAUGAGUAUUUCUGGGGACAACAAGACUCAAAAUGGAGUCCCAGAAUCAGAGAGGGUCUCACUGCAGAUGUCAAAGUCCCCAGCACCGAGC